GGAAGCGACCGGGGCCCGGUGGCCCUCCCGGUCUUCAAAACCGGCUGCUGCCUCCUUGCGGGGCAGGCUGGGUUCGACUCCCAGACGCUUCCGCCA
rnacentral:tRNA from 1 species